AUUGAACGCUGGCGGCAGGCCUAACACAUGCAAGUCGAACGGUAACAGAAAGCAGCUUGCUGCUUUGCUGACGAGUGGCGGACGGGUGAGUAAUGUCUGGGAAACUGCCUGAUGGAGGGGGAUAACUACUGGAAACGGUAGCUAAUACCGCAUAACGUCGCAAGACCAAAGAGGGGGACCUUCGGGCCUCUUGCCAUCGGAUGUGCCCAGAUGGGAUUAGCUAGUAGGUGGGGUAACGGCUCACCUAGGCGACGAUCCCUAGCUGGUCUGAGAGGAUGACCAGCCACACUGGAACUGAGACACGGUCCAGACUCCUACGAGAGGCAGCAGUGGGGAAUAUUGCACAAUGGGCGCAAGCCUGAUGCAGCCAUGCCGCGUGUAUGAAGAAGGCCUUCGGGUUGUAAAGUACUUUCAGCGGGGAGGAAGGGAGUAAAGUUAAUACCUUUGCUCAUUGACGUUACCCGCAGAAGAAGCACCGGCUAACUCCGUG
rnacentral:rRNA from 1 species